CUCCCUGAUGUUAGCGGCGGACGGGCUGAGUAACACGUGGGUAACCUGCCUGUAAGACUGGGAUAACUCCGGGAAACCGGGGCUAAUACCGGAUGGUGUUUGAACCGCAUGGUUCAGACAUAAAAGGUGGCUUCGGUACCACUUACAGAUGGACCCGCGGCGCAUUAGCUAGUUGGUGAGGUAACGGCUCACCAAGGCACGAUGCGUAGCCGACCUGAGAGGGUGAUCGGCCACACUGGGACUGAGACACGGCCCAGACUCCUACGGGAGGCAGCAGUAGGGAAUCUUCCGCAAUGGACGAAAGUCUGACGGAGCAACGCCGCGUGAGUGAUGAAGGUUUUCGGAUCGUAAAGCUCUGUUGUUAGGGAAGAACAAGUGCCGUUCAAAUAGGGCGGCACCUUGACGGUACCUAACCAGAAAGCCACGGCUAACUACGUGCCAGCAGCCGCGGUAAUACGUAGGUGGCAAGCGUUGUCCGGAAUUAUUGGGCGUAAAGGGCUCGCAGGCGGUUUCUUAAGUCUGAUGUGAAAGCCCCCGGCUCAACCGGGGAGGGUCAUUGGAAACUGGGGAACUUGAGUGCAGAAGAGGAGAGUGGAAUUCCACGUGUAGCGGUGAAAUGCGUAGAGAUGUGGAGGAACACCAGUGGCGAAGGCGACUCUCUGGUCUGUAACUGACGCUGAGGAGCGAAAGCGUGGGGAGCGAACAGGAUUAGAUACCCCUGGGUAGUCCACGCCGUAAACGAUGAGUGCUAAGUGUUAGGGGGUUUCCGCCCCUUAGUGCUGCAGCUAACGCAUUAAGCACUCCGCCUGGGGAGUACGGUCGCAAGACUGAAACUCAAAGGAAUUGACGGGGGCCCGCACAAGCGGUGGAGCAUGUGGUUUAAUUGAAGCAACGCGAAGAACCUUACCAGGUCUUGACAUCCUCUGACAAUCCUAGAGAUAGGACGUCCCCUUCGGGGGCAGAGUGACAGGUGGUGCAUGGUUGUCGUCAGCUCGUGUCGUGAGAUGUUGGGUUAAGUCCCGCAACGAGCGCAACCCUUGAUUUAGUUGCCAGCAUUCAGUUGGGCACUCUAAGGUGACUGCCGGUGACAAACCGGAGGAAGGUGGGGAUGACGUCAAAUCAUCAUGCCCCUUAUGACCUGGGCUACACACGUGCUACAAUGGCAGAACAAAGGGCAGCGAAACCGCGAGGUUAAGCCAAUCCCACAAAUCUGUUCUCAGUUCGGAUCGCAGUCUGCAACUCGACUGCGUGAAGCUGGAAUCGCUAGUAAUCGCGGAUCAGCAUGCCGCGGUGAAUACGUUCCCGGGCCUUGUACACACCGCCCGUCACACCACGAGAGUUUGUAACACCCGAAGUCGUGAGGUAACCUUUUAGGAGCCAGC
rnacentral:rRNA from 1 species